CUGCAUGGCUGUCGUCAGCUCGUGUCGUGAGAUGUUGGGUUAAGUCCCGCACGAGCGCAACCCUUGCCUUUAGUUGCCAGCAGUUCGGCUGGGCACUCUAAAGGGACUGCCGGUGUUAAACCGGAGGAAGGUGGGGAUGACGUCAAGUCCUCAUGGCCUUUAUGACCAGGGCUACACACGUACUACAAUGGCCGAUACAAAGGGCAGCGACACUGCGAGGUGAAGCCAAUCCCGUAAAAUCGGUCUCAGUCCGGAUUGGAGUCUGCAACUCGACUCCAUGAAGUUGGAAUCGCUAGUAAUCGUGGAUCAGAAUGUCACGGUGAAUACGUUCCCGGGCCUU
rnacentral:rRNA from 1 species